ACAAUGUCGAAUGUUGAGAGUUUUUCAUUUCCAAUUUUCUCUGCGCUUUUAACAUCAUCAAUAAUACGCUGCAAUCAUGUCAUCAUCAUUAGCAACACGCAUUCUAUCAUCGUCAUUCAUAGUUUCCUUCAUAGUUCUCCACCUUUUCUUCCCCUGCAGAGCCGAUGUUGGAACCGCUGCUAGUUACUCCCCUCCAUAUUUACCUUCGAAGUGUUAUGGGACGGAAGCCACAGAGUUCCCAUCGAGCAAUCUGUUUGCGGCGGCGGGAGAUGGAAUAUGGGACAAUGGGGCAGCUUGCGGGAGGCAGUAUCUGGUGAGAUGCAUCAGUGCGGAGCAACCAAGGACCUGCAUUCCCGACCAAAGCAUUCAGAUCAAGAUCGUUGAUUACGCUGCCACCGCUGUUUCGGCCGCCUCGGCUAGCGGCACUACCUUGGUGUUGUCCGACAAGGCAUUCGGCAGUAUUGCCAAUACAACUGCCGUCUUAAUCAACAUAGAAUUUCAACAGGUGUGAUGAUUGGUAUAUGUAGCUUCGGCUAGUGCUGUCUGUAUUGGGACCCUGUAUUAUUAUUGGCGUGGCGGCUCAAAAGUCAAGUGUUAAAAGUGGCGACUCUUGAAUCAAGGAAGAUAUUUGUCUAAAGAAGGCAGUACGUACCUACGUCGAAGGUGCCUUCAAUUUUAACAUUUCAAGUGUAUUUUCUGGCUGAAAUUGAGGGACCUGAGCAAAAAUCUGAUUCAGAGACUAAAAAGGACUGCAGAUGCUGUUGGAUUCUGACCUCCCUGCACUCGAAGUGGAUUUUCUGGAGCUACAGAAGCCCAAUUGGCGCGCUCUCAACGGCGUUGGAAAGUAGACAUCCUGGGCUUUCCAGCAAUAUAUGAUAGUCCAUACUUUGCCCAAGAUUUGAUGGCCCAAAACGGCGUUCAAAGUUACCCUCAGAAUUCCCAGCGUUAAACGCCCAAACUGGCACAAGAAUGGGAGUUAAACGCCCAAACUGGCACCAAAACGGGAGUUAAACGCCAAGAAGAGUCUCUACACGAAAAAUGCUUCAUUGCUCAGCCCAAGCACACACCAAGUGGGCCCGGAAGUGGAUUUUUAUGUCAUUUACUCAUCUUUGUACACCCUAGGCUACUAGUUUUCUAUAUAUAGGACCUUUUACUAUUGUAUUUUCAUCUUGGUUCUUCUGGUUCCCUCUCUGGGGCCGAAACCAAUGAUCACUCUUGUUCUUAUGUAUUUUCAACGGUGGAGUUUCUACACACCAUAGAUUAAGGUGUGGAGCUCUGCUGUACC